rnacentral:rRNA from 1 species
GUUAAAAAGCUCGUAGUUGGAUUUCUGGUGGGGUUGUCGGCCUGGCUCCGAAAGGGGUCGUGGCUGGACACACCUUGCCAUCCUCGGGGGUAGCUUGGCUGGCAUUGAGUUGUCGGCGGAGUGACGCUCGUCGUUUACUGUGAACAAAUUAGAGUGUUCAAAGCAGGCUUAGGCCGUUGAAUACAUUAGCAUGGAAUAAUAAGAUAGGACUUUGGUGGUCUAUUUUGUUGGUUUGCACGCCGAAGUAAUGAUUAAUAGGGGCGGUUGGGGGUAUUCGUAUUCAAUUGUCAGAGGUGAAAUUCUUGGAUUUAUGGAAGACGAACUACUGCGAAAGCAUUUACCAAGGAUGUUUUCAUUAAUCAAGAACGAAAGUUAGGGGAUCGAAGAAGAUUAGAUACCUUCGUAGUCUUAACCAUAAACUAUGCCGACUAGGGAUUGGCGGUCGUUUGUUCAGACUCCGUCAGCACCUUAUGAGAAAUCAAAGUCUUUGGGUUCCGGGGGGAGUAUGGUCGCAAGGCUGAAACUUAAAGAAAUUGAUGGAAGGGCACCACCAGGAGUGGAGCCUGCGGCUUAAUUUGACUCAACACGGGGGAACUUACCAGGUCCAGACAUAGUAAGGAUUGACAGAUUGAGAGCUC